AGUGGAAGCGUCUGGAAAGGUGCGCGAUACAGGGUGACAGCCCCGUACACAAAAGCGCAUGUGCUGUGAGCUCGAUGAGUAGGGCGGGACACGUGGUAUCCUGUCUGAAUAUGGGGGGACCAUCCUCCAAGGCUAAAUACUCCUGACUGACCGAUAGUGAACCAGUACCGUGAGGGAAAGGCGAAAAGAACCCCGGCGAGGGGAGUGAAAAAGAACCUGAAACCGUGUACGUACAAGCAGUGGGAGCACAGGUUUACCUGUGUGACUGCGUACCUUUUGUAUAAUGGGUCAGCGACUUAUAUUCUGUAGCAAGGUUAACCGUAUAGGGGAGCCGGAGGGAAACCGAGUCUUAAUUGGGCGUUAAGUUGCAGGGUAUAGACCCGAAACCCGGUGAUCUAGCCAUGGGCAGGUUGAAGGUUGGGUAACACUAACUGGAGGACCGAACCGACUAAUGUUGAAAAAUUAGCGGAUGACCUGUGGCUGGGGGUGAAAGGCCAAUCAAACCGGGAGAUAGCUGGUUCUCCCCGAAAGCUAUUUAGGUAGCGCCUCGUGAAUUCAUCUCCGGGGGUAGAGCACUGUUUCGGCUAGGGGGCCAUCCCGGCUUACCAACCCGAUGCAAACUGCGAAUACCGGAGAAUGUUAUCACGGGAGACACACGGCGGGUGCUAACGUCCGUCGUGAAGAGGGAAACAACCCAGACCGCCAGCUAAGGUCCCAAAGUCAUGGUUAAGUGGGAAACGAUGUGGGAAGGCCCAGACAGCCAGGAUGUUGGCUUAGAAGCAGCCAUCAUUUAAAGAAAGCGUAAUAGCUCACUGGUCGAGUCGGCCUGCGCGGAAGAUGUAACGGGGCUAAACCAUGCACCGAAGCUGCGGCAGCGAACGUAUCACCCAAGACAACUUUACGGAGUUGACGAUUGACGGAGCGAAGCGACGUCAAAGCGUUCAUUAAAGUCGAGUUGGCUUAGGGAUACGUUCGUUGGGUAGGGGAGCGUUCUGUAAGCCUGUGAAGGUGUGUCGUGAGGCAUGCUGGAGGUAUCAGAAGUGCGAAUGCUGACAUAAGUAACGAUAAAGCGGGUGAAAAGCCCGCUCGCCGGAAGACCAAGGGUUCCUGUCCAACGUUAAUCGGGGCAGGGUGAGUCGACCCCUAAGGCGAGGCCGAAAGGCGUAGUCGAUGGGAAACGGGUUAAUAUUCCCGUACUUGGUGUUACUGCGAAGGGGGGACGGAGAAGGCUAUGUUGGCCGGGCGACGGUUGUCCCGGUUUAAGCGUGUAGGUGUGUGUUCCAGGUAAAUCCGGUUCACUUUAACACUGAGGCGUGACGACGAGGCACUACGGUGCUGAAGCAACAAAUGCCCUGCUUCCAGGAAAA
rnacentral:rRNA from 1 species